GUGUCAGCAGCCGCGGUAAUACGUAGGGUGCGAGCGUUAAUCGGAAUUACUGGGCGUAAAGCGUGCGCAGGCGGUUUGUUAAGUCUGAUGUGAAAGCCCCGGGCUCAACCUGGGAACUGCAUUGGAAACUGGCAAGCUCGAGUAUGGCAGAGGGGGGUGGAAUUCCGCGUGUAGCAGUGAAAUGCGUAGAGAUGCGGAGGAACACCGAUGGCGAAGGCAGCCCCCUGGGCCAAUACUGACGCUCAGGCACGAAAGCGUGGGGAGCAAACAGGAUUAGAUACCCUGGUAGUCC
rnacentral:rRNA from 1 species